rnacentral:rRNA from 1 species
UACGUAGGGGGCGAGCGUUGCCCGAAUUUACUGGGCGUAAAGCGCACGUAGGCGGCUCCGUAAGUCUGGUGUGAAAUCUCACAGCUCAACCGGGAGGCUGCACCAGAUACUGCGGGGCUCGAGGACGGGAGAGGAGAUUGGAAUUCCCGGUGUAGCGGUGAAAUGCAUUGAUAUCGGGAGGAACACCAGUGGCUAAGGCGGAUCUCUGGCCCGUUGCUGACGCUGAGGUGCGAAAGAUGGGGGCGCGCAAGGG